ensembl:lncRNA
UGGCUGUAUCUGUAAUGCAGUGCUUUUGAACUGGGUAUGGUAAAGUGACUACAGUAAACAGACUAUGGGUUGGCAACCUUUUCAUCAACUGAAUAGCUGAAUUCUGACACCACUCCUUGAGAAAUAAACUCAUUAUCAGAUUGAAACUCCUGUCUCAGUUGGUUAUGGACCAGUGCUAUUCCUCAGAACCCUGGCAUCUAAUUUGUAUGGAGCUCUUUGUUUGUACUUGCCAAUUUGCGGUUUUGAUUGUGUUGUUUUUACGUUGUAGUGCUGAAAGACGUGUGCAGUUGUCUUUGGACCCCACCUGUCUUGUUCUAUAUUUUGUCUGGUGUGAUACUUUGUGUGGACCUCUGGAAGAGUAGCUGCUGCUUUUCUCUGUGGCUUAGCAGGACCCUAACCAUUGUUGCCUUUCAUGAACUGAUCCCUGCUAAGGUUAUGGUUACACAUAAAAAGAAAAUGCUGUUAAUGGUUAUGGUCACAAGGGAAGUUGUACAUGUGGCCUGUAGUUUCACAUGUUCUGUACUUUUGUGUGAUAAUGUUUUUGUCUUGUAUGUGAUCCUCCAUACUGUUCCAGGUUUAAAUUUUUUGUUGUUCAUUCAAACCUGGAUUUUUGGCACAGUAGAAAAUAUUCUAAUAAGUUAGAUGAUAGAUGUUAUCCAUUAGGUUUGAAAUAAAAUUGAAAUAAAAAAGAAAGAAGAUUGCAGAAAUAGGCACGGUAAUGAAUUUGUGGCUAGGGAUGACCAUCACCCUAAAGUCUCACUGCUUCCUGGUUUCCUGCCCCUGACAUUACCCAGAAGUCUGUGGAGCUAAUCUUCGCCAAUUAGAGAUCACUCCAUUAGGAGUGACAGCACCACACCCCCCAAUUCAAUCAGCUUCUCUAAUGAAUGCUGUGCAGAUCACCCUGUCUGUGACUCAAAAACCAGAGAGACCUAUGCACACACGCGCACACACACACACACACAUACGAACACACAGACACACUCUUCCACAAAGAUCUCUCCCUGCCUCUUCUGUCUUAAGUUGAUCUUAUCCACCAUCCACCAUGUGCGGUCAGGCUCAGUCCCCAUCUCCCCUUUAUAUCCACUGACCAAGGUUUAUUUAUUCUUACAAAUAUAUUCGGUAAGAGGUUUUUACUGUAACAGUUUUUUACUUUCAUCGAUUCAUUAUAACUGUGGAAUUGUUCAAGACAUCUCUGAACAGCAUGUGUAUCCAGGUGAAAUUUGACUGAAGUCAUCAAACAAUGUGUUUGUGUCGUCUUGUUAUUGUAUUGGUCUGUCUUAAUGGAAACUUAAAAUAACCAGGAGCUGGUCUGCGUGUGGUUUAUGGGAAUAGUGCAGUUUCGUAGGGAUUCACAUGUAUACACAGAAUCAUGUUGUACUUGUCUGACUGUAUGUUUUAGUUCAU